rnacentral:rRNA from 1 species
GACGAACGCUGGCGGCGUGCCUAAUACAUGCAAGUUGAGCGAUGAAGCUUGGUGCUUGCACCAAUUUGAAGAGCAGCGAACGGGUGAGUAACGCGUGGGGAAUCUGCCUUUGAGCGGGGGACAACAUUUGGAAACGAAUGCUAAUACCGCAUAACAACUUUAAACAUAAGUUUUAAGUUUGAAAGAUGCAAUUGCAUCACUCAAAGAUGAUCCCGCGUUGUAUUAGCUAGUUGGUGAGGUAAAGGCUCACCAAGGCGAUGAUACAUAGCCGACCUGAGAGGGUGAUCGGCCACAUUGGGACUGAGACACGGCCCAAACUCCUACGGGAGGCAGCAGUAGGGAAUCUUCGGCAAUGGACGAAAGUCUGACCGAGCAACGCCGCGUGAGUGAAGAAGGUUUUCGGAUCGUAAAACUCUGUUGGUAGAGAAGAACGUUGGUGAGAGUGGAAAGCUCAUCAAGUGACGGUAACUACCCAGAAAGGGGCGGCUAACUACAUG